ACAGAGGGUGCGAGCGUUGUUCGGAAUUACUGGGCGUAAAGCGCGUGUAGGUGGCGAUGUAAGUCGGGUGUGAAAUCCCUUGGCUUAACCAAGGAAGUGCACUCGAUACUGUGUCGCUUGAGUACCGGAGGGGAUGGCGGAAUUCCCGGUGUAGAGGUGAAAUUCGUAGAUAUCGGGAGGAACACCUGUGGCGAAGGCGGCCAUCUGGACGGUCACUGACACUGAGACGCGAAAGCGUGGGUAGCAAACAGGA
rnacentral:rRNA from 1 species